rnacentral:rRNA from 1 species
AUACGGAGGAUGCGAGCGUUAUCCGGAUUUAUUGGGUUUAAAGGGUGCGUAGGCUGUGCGUUAAGUCAGGGGUGAAAUGCCGUCGCUCAACGACGGAGCUGCCCUUGAUACUGGCGUGCUGGAGUACGGAUGCCGUUGGAGGAAUGAGUGGUGUAGCGGUGAAAUGCUUAGAUAUCACUCAGAACACCGAUUGCGAAGGCAACGGACGAAGCCGUCACUGACGCUGAGGCACGAAAGCGUGGGGAUAGAACAGGAUUAGAUACCCUGGUAUUCCACGCCGUAAACGAUGAUGACUAACCGUCGGCGAUAGACAGCCGGUGGCCAAGCGAAAGCGAUAAGUCAUCCACCUGGGGAGUACGUCGGCAACGAUGAAACUCAAAGGAAUUGACGGGG